UGGACCGCGUGGAACUACAACCAGCUC
rnacentral:piRNA from 1 species